CUGAAGCCGAGAAAGCAAGAGGGCAGCUCAGGCGCUAGAGCGCCGCCAAAGCCACGUCUUCCUCUUGUGCAGGUCUGAGCCCCCAGAUGUGAUGCCUGGGAUAGAAAUACGAAGAUUGGGCUAGUCUCUAAGGACACCUAUCAUGGGUUCCUGGUGCUCAAAGCAGGUGAAGAAGCACAUGACCUGUGUCCAGUCACAGUCUGCAUUCCCCAUGGCCCAUGGAGGAAAGAUGCCCUUCAAGCAAGUGUUUCUUCAAACACUGUCCUACCUAACCGAGCACUCUGUCUACCUGGGGAAAUGGCCGUCUGCAGGUCUGUCCAGAAGAGAAGGACCAGUCCAUCAGAAUAACACCAGAGGUCAGAGAUGAAGGUCAUGGGUCCCAAAUCAGCUUGAGGUGCUCAAGUCUCAGUCGGUGGGGUUUCCACACAGCACAAAGGGCUCGGGACUGCACCAAUCUUUUGCUCUUGCUAAGAAUCAAGGUCAGCUGGGGCUGGGAUAAUAUGCGCAGGCCCACGGGGAGCCGGCCAACAUAAAGAUUCAGAAAGGCCUCUACCUCGGCAGGAGGGAGACGGGUGGUGUUUGCCCCGACUUUGUUUCCUUACAGAAACGGGCUAUCUUAGGUAAAUAAACCCUGAUAAAUGACGAGCCAAAUUUUCCCAAGGCCUAGAUUAUCCUCAGGCUGUGUUUUGGUGGGUGGUCCUCUUUCAGCAGUUGGAGUAAUCCAGAAUGAUCCUGGGCAAUUGGAAGGGAGCAAGCCUGUACUGAAGCCAAGAAGUGAUUUCCUGGGCAGUGUGUAUGGAUGUGAAAUAAAGGAGGUUGGAUAUAUACCUGAGGUGGACAAGGCUGGUGGACACCAGUACUGACAGGACAUCUGAGAACUUUUAUUUUUCUAAUUUUAUUUUUCUUUAUUAAAAAAAAGGGGGCGAUAACAGCUGGCUGAAUAUGGGGGAGGGGAUGAAGGAAGGGAACAUUAAGGGUGCUUAGAUACCCAAGGAGGAUUUGGGCCUACCAUCCGAUCAGGAUGCCUAGAAACACUGGGGCACAGGUCAAUGGCUGCAGAGACCUGGCCCAAAGAUUCCACUAGGACUUACUACUUUAAGAAAAAAAAUGGCCAAGCUGUUGCUACUGGUCAAGGUGGUCACUUGUUUCCAAGGCUGGCCUUCCUUUGUUUGCUAAGGUCAGAAAGUAGUCCCACUCCUUUCUCUGCAGGCUGCAAGUGGAGCAGUUGGAGCGAAGGAGAAUGGCCGGGUUUUGAGGAUCCCCUGAAUCUUGGGGCUCAGGAACUGUCCUCUGCCCAACCAAAUUCACCCGACUGGCACUCUCUCAAGUCCGGCGGCCACUUCGAAGGAUGAGCCGGAUUGAUUUUGCUCCACACAGACCAACAGCCAACACGCUGUUCUGCUGUUUCGGGACUAGCUCUUAGGCCAGAUUCCCCGUGUUCUUGGUUAGAAAACAGACCAGAUGCCCCCUUCUGAGUGACAGUGCACACCUCCCCGUCCCAGAACCUUCACCCGCAUCUCCUUCAGCAGCAUCUCCUCCCUAUCCUCCCGGACCUCGAAGGACAACGGAGCCGAGGGGGCAGCGCGUGACCUCGAGCGGAAGGGCCCCCGUCUGGGUCCUAAUGCGGGUGGCGUCUCUCUUGACAGGCAGCGUUUGGGGACAACAGCGGGGAAGGGAGAUAAGAUGACAUACCAGAGCAGAUUUGGUGUGUGCGCUGAUACUCCUGGCCCGACAGGAAACUUGGAGCUAUUUAAAAGACCCUAUCGAUUACUUUAUCUUCCCUGGAGGAAAGCUUCUUGCCGAGAGACAAAAGAUGUCCCUACCUAAAGAUACAAGGCCACACAGCAGAGGGUUUGCACAGGCGACGUGCAAGUAGAGCUCUGAGAGCGCAAAGAUGCGUUUACACCGGUCGGAAAAUGACUCUGGGUGUCCCACACAGCUAGGCUGGAGGUAGAAGGAGCGAGGGGCAGCGGGGCCACCUCACAGUCCCUGUAAGUUCUGCAAAAGUCCCCGUGCAUGUUGUGCACACUAACCGGUGUGCCUCUGAGUCCCGCUCGUUCUCCUCCCAAGUUUACAGGCUCCUUUUAAGGGCUUGAAUGUCUGCAGCGUCAUGUGCAUCCUGAAAGCGUGGCGUGUGACACUGCAUUCGUUUAGCGUCUCCAUCCCGCUUCUCGCCAACUCGCGGGCGGGCAGAAUGCUGUGGCGCACUCUCCGCCGGUGCCCAGUUGCUGCUGAAGCCUGAAGUUCCGAGCCCCCGGCCGCCUGCGGACGCUCAGGGUGGACACUGAUGGGACUCAACCGUCCGCAGUCAGGGUUUUUCCCGUGCGACACUUAGCCAUCUACCGGUUUAUAAUCCGCUCGGCCCGCGUGGGAGAAAGCGGCGUUUCCUGCGGGACACCAGCGUACUUUAAGAAUCUUAAGACACGACCUGUAAGGAAAGGACGAUGCGGAAGAGAAAGGGCUACGAUCCUAGGAAGCAUCGAACAUGUGGUGACCGGUCACUUACAGCCUGAUUCCCGCCCACGGGAGACCCCCAGCAGUCCCUGAGGGAGGCGGAGGCUCCGGAGUUGCUGUCUGGGUUUCAACGGCAACGAGCCGGCACAAAUUCUUCAACUCCGACUACAGCCCGCGGCGCCCUUGGAGGCCGGGCUCGCCGGCGGCGCUAGAAGUGAAAACCCACGCGUUUCCUGCAGCUACGAGUCCUUGAUCUGAGCGCUCAAGCCCAAGAAGUCUGCAGAGACGCCUCCGGGAGCUCCAAGCCGCCGCACUAGCCUGGGUUGGCUCUAAAAAGCACCGUUUUCUCCUCGCCGCAUCUUGAAUCAUUGCCCCACUCCAAUGUCACCUGAUUUUUCAAAUUAUCACCUCCUGAGACGGGAUCCUGAGGGAUCUCCAGAGCUCCACCGCUGCGCGCUGUUGAUGCUGUAGCAGUUUGUAGCGGUCAGGGCAGGUGGAAAACAGUGUUACAGGAGCUUGGAGCUGAGGAGAAAGAGGACUAAGAUAAGGAAAACCGCUGCAGAGGUCGGGAAGCGGCUCCCAUCAGAUCCAUCAAGUUGAAAUCACAGCGAGUGAGUGACCAAAGAGAAACUUCGCUUUGGAAAUAUCCCCGCCAAAUGCGCGAGAAAAAGUGCGCACAGAAAGAUAUAACAAAUUUUGAGUGCCGGCAAAAAUAUAAAGGAGCCUGCAGAAUUUCGAGGGAAAAAAAAAAACGCACAUCCUACAAUUUGACACAUUUUCUAUAAGCAUACAAACGAAUAAAAUCUGCAGAGGAUGCACUGCUUCAAGUCUGUGGCAGACCUGGACCGACUAACCGGAAGGGUUCAUUAAAAACGUCAGCGUUUUCUAUAUUACUGGGGCCUUCCACGAGCUUUUCCACGUGCCCAGACUCACGGGACAGUAUACUUACCACCCUGUUGAUUGAAUUCCAAUUAUCAUGUCUCAAUUAAAUGGAUCACGGUCAACACUUGACCGGCAUACAAGGCCCCUGAGUCCAGUUCCCAGCACUGGACAGAAACAAGUCGACUUUAAAAAAUAAAAAAGCCUUGAGUGAGGCGACUGGCAUACUAAUUCCUCUCUUUUCACAUUUGUUGUUUGGUUUUUAAGAUGCGGUAACUAUUUUUAAAAUAAAGAUAGUCACCGGUC